UUGCUCGUUGCUCGUCCUUUUGCAGCCUUCGCUCGAUUCUCUGCUGCUUCGGAGGCCAGCCUCCCAGUCUGUGAUCUCUCCUUUAGCUCAGCAGCCAUGAGUGCGGAGGCAGCCCCGUCCGUUGUGCCCGAGUCUCUCCUCAAGAAGCGCAAGAGGGACGAGCAGUGGACCGCGGCCAAGUCUGCGGAGCUUGCCGCUGCUAAGACCCGGAACGCUAAGAACCGUACGCUAAUCUUCAAGCGUGCUCAGCAGUACCAGGAGGAGUACGAGAAACAGGAAAAGGAUUUGAUCAAUUUGAAGAGGGAGGCUAAGCUGAAGGGUGGAUUCUAUGUCGAGCCAGAGCCUAAGCUUAUGUUUGUCAUCCGUAUCCGUGGUAUCAAUGACAUGCACCCGAAGGUCAGGAAGAUCAUGCAGCUAUUAAGACUGAGGCAGAUCUUCAAUGGCGUGUUCAUGAAGGUGAACAAGGCCACCGUGAACAUGUUGCGCAGGGUUGAGCCAUACGUGACGUACGGGUACCCCAACCUGAAAACCGUUCGGGAGUUGAUCUACAAGCGCGGAUACGGCAAGCAGGACAAAUGCCGCACUGCCUUGACGGACAACAGCGUAAUUGAGCAGGCUCUUGGAAAGUUCGGUAUCAUUUGCAUUGAGGAUCUCAUUCACGAGAUCUACACUGUUGGCCCCCACUUUAAGGAGGCGAACAACUUCUUGUGGCCCUUCAAGCUGAGCGCCCCUCUUGGUGGUCUCACGAAGAAGAGAAAUCACUACGUGGAACACGGUGACGCUGGCAACAGGGAGGCCAAGUUGAACAAUCUUGUUCGCCAGAUGAACUAGAUCUAUGGUCCACGUCGCCUGUAAUUGGAGGUCAUUGUUAUCUAACUGCAUUGGGAAGAGAAGAUCCAGAACAUAAAUAACCUCAAUAAGCAAUUUACAAACCCUGAAACAUCGAAAGCUGAAGAAUGACAUCUACAGUAUAGCAUUUACCGUGAGGUAAUCGAGAGUGGUCGGCACUAAAUCCCAAUGUACUGUAACCUCCGACCACAAUUUUUUCGAUCAUCACUUCGAUGUGUUAACACAUGUUUCUCGGAUAUUGCGUUUCAACUAAUAUGCCUUGCCAAACCCAUUAUCACUGCUGGUAGCUUUUAAGUACAAUUAGCUCUAGCUGACUGCAACUUUCGCUGUUGAAGUGGAAUGAAUUUGACCUUCACAGGCUCCUUUCUGAGAAUUUGGAAUGACAGUGGUGACAGUUACAAUUGAGCAUCGGAUCAGUUAUACUGAUCACAGUUAAAACCA